UGGGGAAUAUUGGACAAUGGGGGCAACCCUGAUCCAGCAAUGCCGCGUGAGUGAUGAAGGCCUUAGGGUUGUAAAGCUCUUUCGCACGCGACGAUGAUGACGGUAGCGUGAGAAGAAGCCCCGGCUAACUUCGUGC
rnacentral:rRNA from 1 species